rnacentral:SRP_RNA from 1 species
UCGUGCUAGGCGGGGAAUUAGCGGCGCCCUAUACCUGCAGUCCGCUAUAGCAGGGCUGAAUGCCGUCUGAGAAUUUGCCUUGCAAUGCCUGGCCUUUUGUCAAAGCGUUGAGAUUUUGGUCCUGCGUGAGUAGGGCUUAUGAACCCCGUCAGAUCCGGAAGGAAGCAGCGGUAAAUAAGACUCCUGCCUGCCGUAGGUAAGCUAAAAUGGAGCGGCGACAUCUGGUUUCAGUUUGUAAGACGAACGCGAGGGCGGAUGCACGG